UAUCUGGUUGAUCCUGCCAGUAGUCAUAUGCUUGUGUUAAAGAUUAAGCCAUGCAUGCCUAGGUAUAGGUGGACAAAGAACCGAGACUGCGGAUGGCUCAUUAAAUCAGUCAGAAUUAGUUUGGUGAAGCGUGGAAUGGAGAAGGAUAACCCUGUGAAUUGUAGAGCUAAUACAAGAAGAAGAUAUUUCAUGGUGGUGACACGGUGGAAUAGCAUUUAUCAGCUCUGGUUUUGGUGUGUGUGGUUUGCUGAGCCUGAAAGGUGUGGUGACACAUGUGCUGGAAGGGGUGGUGACAAGGGAGAGUGUGCUGAAGGGUGUGUGGCUCAGUAGUCCAGGAAGCAAAAGGAAAAGCACAGUGGUGCCAGUGUUGUGCUGUAUAGGCAAGAUGCUGGGAGCAAGGACAAGGGCAACGGGGACAUGUGAGUGACACUUUGGCAAGAGGACGACUUGUGACCACUUGGCAAGACAUCCGUGUGAGGAGCAAUGAACAAGGAUAAAUAGGGGAAAGCAUCAUGUUUGCCUCUUUUGGGGCAGGUGUGUUGUGGACGCCAGACAGCGAGUCGUGAGAUGCUUGAAGGGAGACCUUUGAGGACGAUGGACCAAAGAAAAGACUGACCUAUCAAGUUGAUGGUAGGAUAGGGGCCUACCAAGCUAAUAACGGGUGACGGGGAAUUAGGGUUUGACUCCGGAGAGGGAGCCUGAGAAAUGGCUACCACUUCCAAGGAAGGCAGCAGGCGCGUAAAUUACUCAGUGCCGAAAGGGCGAGGUAGUGACGACAAAUACUGAUGUCUUCUUGGCUGUUAGCUGAGGGAGCAAUUGGAAUGAAAGCAAGACAAAGACAUGAUAGAGUAGCAAUUGGAGGGCAAGUCUGGUGCCAGCAGCCGCGGUAAUUCCAGCUCCAAGAGUGUAUAUUAAAGCUGUUGCGAUUAAAACGCUCGUAGUUUAUAUUGUGGUUGUGUGUUUGUGUGUGGCUAUUCUUUUUCAUGGCUCCAUUGGGGUUGUGAAGGAGACACACACUGGUGCAUGACAGGUGGUUCAGUUUGGAGAUUGUGCUUGGAUGGACGAUAAGGAAGAACUGGAUGGAAUACUUUGAACAAAAUAGGACGAUAGAGGUAGAUAGUAAUGUAUGAUGGAUAUAUUAGCAUAGGAUAAUAGAGGUGUAUAAGAGGCGUGUGAUAGUGGAGCACAUGGCAAGGGACAAGAAAUCUGUGGUGGUUGUGAUUGUGGAAAUGGUUUUUUGAGUGGCACUAGGUGACUGAUGGGACACUUUGUGUGCUUAGGUCAAGUUGUGGUGGUCAAGAAAAGAGUGAGUGAGGACACACACGGACAGGCAAUUGGAACGAGGACAGAGAAAUAGGCCUUAGGUGGCUGACCUUGACGUGAGCGAGGACAUGGCGGAGAGACAGAAGCAGUUAGACAGACAAAGAAUAGGAACAAAGGGGGUGGUAGAUAUUUUCCUGAGAGAGGUGAAAUUCAAUGACCAGGAAAAGAUAGACGAGAGCGAAAGCAUUCCACAAAGAUGUUUUCAUAGAUCAAGAACGAAAGUUGGGGGAUCGAAGACGAUCAGAUACCGUCGUAGUCUCAACCAUAAACGAUGCCGACUAGGGAUUGGAUGGUGGUGUGUGAGUGGUUGUGGUGGUGAUGCAUGCCUUUGUGGUGUGUGUUGUUGUCAUGACUGCUGACCAAUCGAAAAGAAGCACAUGCCAGUUAACGCCGGUGUGAGUGGACAGAAUAGACUCUUCCAGGACUUUAGCGAGAAAUCAAGAAGUUGAUGGGCUUCGGGGGGAGUAUGGUCGCAAGGCAGAAACUUAAAGGAAUUGACGGGAGGGCACACCAGGAGUGGAGCGUGCGGCUUAAUUUGACUCAACACGGGGAAACUUACCAGGGCCAGAUAGCAAGGGGAUUGACAGAUUGAGAGCUCUUUCAUGAUAUGGUAGGUGGUGGUGCAUGGUCGUUCUUAGUUGGUGGUGUGAAUUGUCUGGUUAAUUCCGAUAACGAACGAGACCUUGGCUUACUAAGUAGAUGGCAGUGAUGGGACUUGUGUGUUGUGUUUGGUUGUUGUUUGCUGUGGCUUUUCGGAGUUGUGGUGGAUGAUGGUCAAGGACAGGCACAAGAGGAUGACAGUGGAUUUCUUAGAAGGACUUUUGAUAGGACAGGAAUUGAAGGAAGGUAGAGGCAAUAACAGGUCUGUGAUGCCCUUGGAUGCUCUGGGCCGCACGCGCGCUACAAUGCUAUAUUCAGAGUGUGGUUUGCUUUUGUGCUUGUGCUUCAUGCACAGGGACAGAGGGAGUACCGACAUAGAGAGAUGGAGGAAAACAUGGGAAAGGAUAGCAAGGUGGGGAUAGAUGAUUGGAAUUGUUUGUCUUGAACAAGGAAUUCCUAGUAAGCGCAAGUGAGUAGGUUGUGCUGAUUACGUCCCUGCCCUUUGUACACACCGCCCGUCGCUCCUACCGAUUGGGUAAUGCGGUGAAAAUAGUGGAUGUUGCUUUGUGCUUCAUGCACAGGACAGCAGAAAGUAUUUGAACCUUAAUAUCUAGAGGAAGGAGAAGUCGUAACAAGGUAUCCGUAGGUGAACCUGCGGAAGGAUCA
rnacentral:rRNA from 1 species